UUCUGUGUUGCUUUCGGUGUAACCUAUUUCAGCCGGCAAGUCUCACAUAACCUUUCCCUCUUACUUGGGAUUCACAAAGAACCUGAGAUCAGCCUCCUGACCGCUUCCAGAGUGCAUUGUAAAAAAUAUGUUGGAUUUAAACACAGGCUUUAAAUAAUAAUCUGGUGGGGUUUUUUUUUGGAAGUGUAACAUGUCUUAGUAAUAAGCAGAAUUUUGGACCAUGCUUCUGGAGGACAACUCUCCUCAGUGGGUGUCACAAGGUAUUGAGCACAUCUUGGGACUUUGUGCAUCUUCUAGACCAUAUGGUAUUUCUGGGUUUCAGACCACGCACAAAGAAUAAUUAUUCUGCUCACAAAGCAGCACUGGCUUGGAGACAAAGCUAAGACUUCUAACACUUGGUAAGUUUAUCUCUGAAUUCCUGCUGUGCAGAUGGCACAGUGGGCUGGUGAGCAGCAGGACUAGGAAACAGCAGAGGAGUUGGCAGGUUGGCAAGGAAGAUAACAGGUGGCCUGUGAAGUGGAAGCAAG